GAUAAACGCAAUAAAUAGAGGUGAUCUAAUUGCGAAAAAUUAAGCGACGAGUAUUUCGGAUUUUUCGUUUUCCGAAUCAUAUUAGAACGUUUUGAUAUGCGGGGGUUUAGUCAUCCGCGAAAUUCUUUCGCUCUAUACAGCGACGGAUCGCGUCUUACGGUGUAAAAACACGUGACAGAACAUUUGAUUUUUAUUUAUGUAUUUUGUUUGAUUGUUUGAAUUUAUUGGAUAAGGUCGGGAAGCUUUUUAUGGGAUUUAAGGAUGAUUUAAGGUUUCAGACAUUAACAACAAUAACAACCACGAGUGCAAUACCGGAUAUCUCGACAUUCAAAUAAAAACGGACCACAGUGUAGCUACUGUAUCUGAAUAGAUGCUGAAAAUGAGCCAAUUUUAAGAAUGGUUAUUCAGAGAAAACCUAUGAAAAAUCGGUGAAAGAAUAUUGAGGACAACCAAUACAAUGAGAGCCUGAUAUCAAACUUCCGGAAACUUGAUCGUAUCAAAAUUGUAACUUAAAAUAAAAAUACUACUUAUAAUCAAUAGUACUUUUUAUUAAAAAACCUAAAAUGUAUGCCUAAAUUUCUGAAAUGAUUUAAUUAAGUGUUCAAGUUAGGAAAUUUUUUGCAGGUAAACAGUAGCUGGGAAAACGAUGGAUUUUAGGGAAGUUUGUAUUCAAAAUUAGGAAUUUGUUGUAAACGUUGUUCAACUAGGAUAAAUUUUAUAUUUGCAAUAAAAUUAGUGCUGAAAAAAUGAUGGAAAUUCCGGGUAAUUCUUGCCAAAACGUAUUAAAUGUACGUGAAAACCUUUUUCUGAAAAAUUGUGUCAUUUUUAUUUAAAUUCUCGAAAAUAUCAAAAAUCUUAAACGAAUUACAUCAAAGUUGAAUUCCAUCAAUUUUUUGUUUCAAAAUAUAAACUGAUUUUCAUUAAAUUUGUUACAUAAUUAGAACAUAGCUUGAACUAGGAAUAGUGGUGAAAUUAUGGGUAAUUUUUAUCAAAAAUCACGAUUUUCAAGGGUCAACAAUACAUAAUAUGAGAUAAGGAACAUCUUGUGUUUAUGAUAAGAUAUACAAUUAAGAAAAAUUUAAUUAAAAUUUUUAGGCUAAAUAUAGCUGCAGAAAA